rnacentral:lncRNA from 1 species
CAGUUUUGUGGCUUUGGGUGGAUCACUUCAUCUCUAUAAAUCUGUUUAAUCCUCAAUCAAAUUAGAUAUUUACAAAAUAACACAUAUUUAUAGUGUUCAGUAUUCUAGGUACUUUAUGUCUGUUAACUUGAUUCUUACGACAACCCCAUAGUGAGAAAGAGAGGUAUGGAGAGGCUAAGUGACUUGGCCGAGACUUCCAGGCACAGGGGGCUUGGGGACGGGGAGAGCUAGGGUCUGAACCUGUACAUCUGGCUGUAGGGAGGGUCCUUGUCUCCACUGGGCCGCUGCUGUCUUGGGUACCUUAACCCCUCGUGAUCUGUUGAGUCUUAAAAGGCACUGACAUCCAUAAGUCCACAAAAUUAGCAUUUUAAGAAGACUAGUAUCUUCUUCACUCUUUGUAAGUCCAAAGCGUCUUUCCUCAGUGAACCCACAGGUCAGGGUGCCGGGGAGCGUAGGCUCUGGUCCCCCAGCCGGCGCCCCAGUGAGCUCAUCGCAGGAAAGCCUUGCAGUGGCCGCGAGGUGGCAGCAUUCAAUCAAAGAUAUGUGGCCUUGCGCUAACUGAAAAGUCAGGAUUGGCCCCUUCCUUCUUCACUUUUCUAAAACCCCAGAGUAUACCUGUUUGAUGGUGGAGUCUGGGCUUGAUCGUCUGAGGUUCCCAACAGUGAAGGAGUCACAGGAGUCCAAGCCGCAGCGUACCCGCUGGGAACUCAGAGCCUUUGGGAGAGAAAAGGAGGGAGCUGGCUCCAUUGGAGAAUGCGUCUGUGAGUCCCUGUGGAAAAGAGGACGCUGUUCUAGAUUCUGAGAACAUCCCUGCUCUUGGGCGUGGACCCCCGAAAGGAGUAGCAGAGCACAGCCCUCAAGUGUAGACUGAGCGAGCCAGGCUCGAGCGACUCCUGCUGGAGUGACGAGAUGCCCCAGGCUUGACUGGUGCAGUCCUUGCUCUAAUCUUGGAAGCAAUCAUCUCUCCAAGGAGCCCAGGUUCCUUUUGUUAGAGAUUAUUAUUACAAAGAUUGGGGUGCUAUGUAUAAACUGAAAUUUUUACAACUGUAAGACUGGAGACAUAAUAGAGUUCUUAUAGAGUUGGGCGAACAUUAAGUGAAAUAACAAUUAAAAUUUCUCCCCAUUUAGU